GAAAAGAGUUAGAAACACAGAAACU
rnacentral:tRNA from 1 species